rnacentral:rRNA from 1 species
UCCGUAGGUGAACCUGCGGAGGGAUCAUUACCGAGUUUACAACUCCCAAACCCAAUGUGAACCAUACCAAACUGUUGCCUCGGCGGGGUCACGCCCCGGGUGCGUCGCAGCCCCGGAACCAGGCGCCCGCCGGAGGGACCAACCAAACUCUUUUCUGUAGUCCCCUCGCGGACGUUAUUUCUUACAGCUCUGAGCAAAAAUUCAAAAUGAAUCAAAACUUUCAACAACGGAUCUCUUGGUUCUGGCAUCGAUGAAGAACGCAGCGAAAUGCGAUAAGUAAUGUGAAUUGCAGAAUUCAGUGAAUCAUCGAAUCUUUGAACGCACAUUGCGCCCGCCAGUAUUCUGGCGGGCAUGCCUGUCCGAGCGUCAUUUCAACCCUCGAACCCCUCCGGGGGGUCGGCGUUGGGGACCUCGGGAGCCCCUAAGACGGGAUCCCGGCCCCGAAAUACAGUGGCGGUCUCGCCGCAGCCUCUCCUGCGCAGUAGUUUGCACAACUCGCACCGGGAGCGCGGCGCGUCCACGUCCGUAAAACACCCAACUUUCUGAAAUGUUGACCUCGGAUCAGGUAGGAAUACCCGCUGAACUUAAGCAUAUCAAUAAGCGGAGGAA